AAAUUGAAGAGUUUGAUCAUGGCUCAGAUUGAACGCUGGCGGCAGGCCUAACACAUGCAAGUCGAGCGGUAGCACAGAGAGCUUGCUCUCGGGUGACGAGCGGCGGACGGGUGAGUAAUGUCUGGGAAACUGCCUGAUGGAGGGGGGAUAACUACUGGAAACGGUAGCUAAUACCGCAUAAUGUCGCAAGACCAAAGUGGGGGACCUUCGGGCCUCAUGCCAUCAGAUGUGCCCAGAUGGGAUUAGCUAGUAGGUGGGGUAACGGCUCACCUAGGCGACGAUCCCUAGCUGGUCUGAGAGGAUGACCAGCCACACUGGAACUGAGACACGGUCCAGACUCCUACGGGAGGCAGCAGUGGGGAAUAUUGCACAAUGGGCGCAAGCCUGAUGCAGCCAUGCCGCGUGUGUGAAGAAGGCCUUCGGGUUGUAAAGCACUUUCAGCGGGGAGGAAGGCGUUAAGGUUAAUAACCUUGGCGAUUGACGUUACCCGCAGAAGAAGCACCGGCUAACUCCGUGCCAGCAGCCGCGGUAAUACGGAGGGUGCAAGCGUUAAUCGGAAUUACUGGGCGUAAAGCGCACGCAGGCGGUCUGUCAAGUCGGAUGUGAAAUCCCCGGGCUCAACCUGGGAACUGCAUUCGAAACUGGCAGGCUAGAGUCUUGUAGAGGGGGGUAGAAUUCCAGGUGUAGCGGUGAAAUGCGUAGAGAUCUGGAGGAAUACCGGUGGCGAAGGCGGCCCCCUGGACAAAGACUGACGCUCAGGUGCGAAAGCGUGGGGAGCAAACAGGAUUAGAUACCCUGGUAGUCCACGCCGUAAACGAUGUCGAUUUGGAGGUUGUGCCCUUGAGGCGUGGCUUCCGGAGCUAACGCGUUAAAUCGACCGCCUGGGGAGUACGGCCGCAAGGUUAAAACUCAAAUGAAUUGACGGGGGCCCGCACAAGCGGUGGAGCAUGUGGUUUAAUUCGAUGCAACGCGAAGAACCUUACCUGGUCUUGACAUCCACAGAACUUUCCAGAGAUGGAUUGGUGCCUUCGGGAACUGUGAGACAGGUGCUGCAUGGCUGUCGUCAGCUCGUGUUGUGAAAUGUUGGGUUAAGUCCCGCAACGAGCGCAACCCUUAUCCUUUGUUGCCAGCGGUCCGGCCGGGAACUCAAAGGAGACUGCCAGUGAUAAACUGGAGGAAGGUGGGGAUGACGUCAAGUCAUCAUGGCCCUUACGACCAGGGCUACACACGUGCUACAAUGGCAUAUACAAAGAGAAGCGACCUCGCGAGAGCAAGCGGACCUCAUAAAGUAUGUCGUAGUCCGGAUUGGAGUCUGCAACUCGACUCCAUGAAGUCGGAAUCGCUAGUAAUCGUAGAUCAGAAUGCUACGGUGAAUACGUUCCCGGGCCUUGUACACACCGCCCGUCACACCAUGGGAGUGGGUUGCAAAAGAAGUAGGUAGCUUAACCUUCGGGAGGGCGCUUACCACUUUGUGAUUCAUGACUGGGGUGAAGUCGUAACAAGGUAACCGUAGGGGAACCUGCGGUUGGAUCACCUCCUUACCUUAAAGAA
rnacentral:rRNA from 1 species